UACGUAGGGUGCAAGCGUUAUCCGGAAUUAUUGGGCGUAAAGAGCUCGUAGGCGGUUUGUCGCGUCUGCUGUGAAAACUGGAGGCUCAACCUCCAGCCUGCAGUGGGUACGGGCAAACUAGAGUGCGGUAGGGGAGAUUGGAAUUCCUGGUGUAGCGGUGGAAUGCGCAGAUAUCAGGAGGAACACCGAUGGCGAAGGCAGAUCUCUGGGCCGUAACUGACGCUGAGGAGCGAAAGCAUGGGG
rnacentral:rRNA from 1 species